rnacentral:sRNA from 26 species
UUCUAGCCCAGAUGGAAACGGCAUCCUUUUUCUUGCUCCUUUAGCAAGGAAAAGAUAGAGUGUACAGCUGGAAAUAGC